rnacentral:rRNA from 1 species
CCUACGGGAGGCAGCAGUGGGGAAUAUUGCGCAAUGGGCGAAAGCCUGACGCGGCGACGCCGCGUGAGGGAUGAAGGUCUUCGGAUCGUAAACCUCUGUCAGCAGGGAAGAACGGUCACUGUGCUAAUCAGCAGUGAAUUGACGGUACCUGCAAAGGAAGCACCGGCUAACUCCGUGCCAGCAGCCGCGGUAAUACGGAGGGUGCGCGCGUUAAUCGGAAUUACUGGGCGUAAAGCGCUCGUAGGCGGUAUGUCAAGUCAAGGGUGAAAUCCCCGCGCGCAACGUGGGAACUGCCUUUGAAACUGGCGAACUUGAGUGUGUGAGAGGAUAGUGGAAUUCCAGGUGUAGGAGUGAAAUCCGUAGAUAUCAGGAAGAACAUCAGUGGCGAAGGCGACUAUCUGGCACAUAACUGACGCUGAGGAGCGAAAGCGUGGGUAGCAAACAGGAUUAGAUACCCUAGUAGUC